CGGGAGAUGGCUGAGUGGUUGAAAGCGGCGGUCUUGAAAACCGUUGAGGAUCAUACCUCCGGGGGUUCGAAUCCCUCUCUCCCGGCCA
rnacentral:tRNA from 1 species